GACGAACGCUGGCGGCGUGCUUAACACAUGCAAGUCGAACGGUGAAGGGAUCAGCUUGCUGGUUCUGGAUGAGUGGCGAACGGGUGAGUAACACGUGAGUAACCUGCCCCCUUCUUCUGGAUAACCGCAUGAAAGUGUGGCUAAUACGGGAUAUUCUGGGUCUGUCGCAUGGCGGGCCCGGGAAAGAUGCGCCUUUGGGUGUUUUUGGUGGGGGAUGGGCUCGCGGCCUAUCAGCUUGUUGGUGGGGUGAUGGCCUACCAAGGCGGUGACGGGUAGCCGGCCUGAGAGGGUGGACGGUCACACUGGGACUGAGACACGGCCCAGACUCCUACGGGAGGCAGCAGUGGGGAAUAUUGCACAAUGGGCGCAAGCCUGAUGCAGCGACGCCGCGUGAGGGAUGGAGGCCUUCGGGUUGUAAACCUCUUUCGCCAGUGAAGCAGGCCUGCUCCUUGUGGGUGGGUUGACGGUAGCUGGAUAAGAAGCGCCGGCUAACUACGUGCCAGCAGCCGCGGUAAUACGUAGGGCGCGAGCGUUGUCCGGAAUUAUUGGGCGUAAAGAGCUCGUAGGCGGCUGGUCGCGUCUGUCGUGAAAUCCUCUGGCUUAACUGGGGGCUUGCGGUGGGUACGGGCCGGCUUGAGUGCGGUAGGGGAGACUGGAACUCCUGGUGUAGCGGUGGAAUGCGCAGAUAUCAGGAAGAACACCGGUGGCGAAGGCGGGUCUCUGGGCCGUUACUGACGCUGAGGAGCGAAAGCGUGGGGAGCGAACAGG
rnacentral:rRNA from 1 species